UUUUUAGUUCAGGAAGGACUUAUAGCCAAUAGCAGAGAAGCACUGUCAAAACUUUAGCCAUACAAAAGUAAAUGAUUGCAAAUAAGUUCACCUUUUGAAGCACAAUGGCAACAGAUUGGUUUACGGAAAUGGUGCAUGCAGAUAUUUAGUGUAAAAUUUACACAACAGUUAUGAGGCCCCUGCUCUCUAACACAGCUACAGCUCAGGUUGAGACCUGUGAAGACAAAACUUGCCUAAAUAGUUUACCUGGACACUGUGAGGCUUGAUGGACUGGGGCUGGAGGUGGGGCCUGUGUCGAAGACAAAUUGAGGCUGCCAUCGAUGUCACAGUCCAUUAUCAUGUCAGCAGAGAUAUGACUGUUGUUGAGUGCAACCACAUUUGCAUUUGAGGGUGGUUGGCUGAGGUUCACUCCUGAAAGAUACAUUUUGUGUCCAAGUAACUAUACAAUUGUCUUAGGCUCUUCUUAUGGGGCUGUCUGUUAGUAAGCAACACAACUUUAUUAGAAUGACCAUGUUAGCUUAUUCAUAGUAGCACUCACCAGAUGGAUUCACCCCUCCUGCUUGGAUGGUUUUAUGUAUGAUCAAGUCCUUUUUAAUUCGGUUGCUGGUAACUAUUCGGGAAUCAACAGUGCUGUUGCAAUCCGCGUAAACCGUUGGGCUGGAUGACACUUCAAAACAAAUGUGUCAUUGCCUUGUUAGAUGACAACCUUUUGUAUGCCAUGACCUUGCAGUCUGUAAUAAAAACACUGGCCUGACAAACCUGA